CUCAGGAACAAAUGAGGACUCUUGGAUUGGGUUCAUUCGGGGGUCACACGUAGUCACGGUGGGAGGAGCCAACCUUGUAAACGUUGUGCUUCUCGCUGAGCGUGUCAAAGACGAUGUAGAUCUCGUUGAGCAUGUCCACCACCUGCAUGGGCGUGAUGUGGAUGCAGAUCUCAUUGAACUUGACCACGUCGCUGAACAGGAUGGUCACAUCGGAGAAGACCUGGAACACACGGGGGUCACCAUGUCGCGUCGGAUGGUAGCAGUCGAUUCUUGAAGCUGUCCACCAUGACGUACCUGACAUGUUUCCAGAGCUGUGAUUCCCUUCCUGAGGCGGUCGGCUACAGCCUUAGGGAUCAUGGCGUACAGCAAGGAGUCGCCUCUCUUCUUCUCUUCAUCCAGCUUCUUUAUGAUUUCCUGCAGCUGAGCGUACUUCUGUUGUUCCUACAAGAUUAAAAGCGUAUUUAUCUGUAAGAGGUUUUUGCUCUAUGACCCGAUCCAGGAUAAGCACAGACAAUGGACAUUUCCGAACCUGGUCCAGGGCCAGCUGCAGUUCAGCUGACUGCUGCGUGCCAGCCAGGAUCAGCUCUCUGCUGGAGUCGUGUAGAUUCAAAUCGUUGACGUAGACGCCCAUCUUGAUCAUGUCCUCCACUGUCUCAAUGCUGCAGAGAGAGGACAAGAGGUUUACUUGAGGCUGCUUGAGACCAAGGUGUAGGCAUGUGAAGACAUAAGCACGGAUGGACUGAGGUCUUACAUGGGCGUCCCCAGGAAGAUGAGAGAAUCCCACUGGGGGACAUACUUCAUUUGGCCUUUCAGGUGGAGAGGCUUUUUAGGGGGCUCCCGCAUGUCUUCAAAGAUAGUUUCACUGCAUUUGCCUGAGAGGAAAAGAGCUUUUCAGUUUACUUAAUCUUCAUCUAAACAAAGGAUGUAAGAUUUAUUUGAGAGAAAGAUGUUCUGACCUGUGACAGUCUGGAAAGCCAGCAGCUCGAUGUCUUCGCCUCCAGAGUUAGCAGAACUGUUGUAUUGAGUCAGAGCACUACUGUACUCAUGGUCUGUGCCCUUUAUCUCCUCUACUGACUUUUGUUCUUCACACGAGACAAAGACUCAGGAGUCAGUAUGGCUUUUGGACUCGGUGUGGACUCAGUUUUCUAGUGAAGCUAAGCCAAUCCCGGUCCAAAGAUAAUGAAGACUCUGUCACCACUUAGUCGCAUGGUUAUGCGGAGGUGGUUCUCCCGGGAUGCAGACGGAAAACUCCGGAGAUCGCGUGCAGGCACAUCACACCAGGAAGCUACGACCGGUCCGAGACAAUCUCUUACUCAGAGAGACGUGCACCUAGAACCUUCGAAACCAUCAACUUUAUUAACAAAGACACAAACAUUAAGAGCAUCCAGAACCUCCCAACGUCCCCCAAAUGAGGAACCUACUUGUACAUCUGAUGCCUGACAAACUUCAGGUGAGGGAUCUCGGCUCGGUUCUCAAUCAGCCGCCACACGUCCUCGCCGUAGGAUUCGUUGAUGUAGUCGUUGACCGCCUCCAAGUACAGGCCGUACAUCUUCACGGGGCUCGGUGCUGCCCGACUUAACUGCUCAGCUGAGGAGAGGUUCUUCUUGUCAGAGUGGACCAGACUGGAGCUCACCUCGGUGCUGCUCAACCUCAUGAAAACCUCAGCCAGCCUCUUCAGGACACGAGCUCCAUUCAAAGAAGUAGAAGAAGAACCCAACAGGAGCUGACUGACUGACUGAGCGGGCGGGCGGCCACGGAUCCGAGCGUCCCGGCAGCAACCCGGCAGGUCAGAACCAGGCGGAGAGCCAAAAGUGCGGUACCAGCAAAGGUCUUCAAAGUGUUGUGUCGCCUGGAGCUCAACCUCAACAUGGACCCCCGCUCAGAGUGUGCACCUGCAGGUGA